GUUGGGUGCGUGGUGGGUAUCGCGACCAGGAGGGGGAAAGAAAGGGUGAAACCCUACUUGUUCAAUCAAGGUCAAAAUUCAGCAAAUUAAUGGUGGUUCUUGACACAAAUCGAAUGCAUGAGACUGGAUACAACUUAACCUAAGUAUAUUGAUCAUAAGGAAUCACAUUAGCAAGGACUCGAAAGCGGAAGGUUAACGGGUCAAGCAGAGGCGAGGAAACAAGCGUGAACACUAACGCUCGAGGUAAGUGACUUUCGAUUCACUUCUUAGUAUACAUAUAGAGUUUUCUUGUUAUGGUUGAAUGGGAUGAUUGAUGUAUAUAAAAUGGCCGACAAGUAGGUAUGUGUGAAUGCAUUUAGGAAAAUUAUGUAAGUACAUGCACGUGUGAGCUAAGGUAUGCACGGGUAUAGUUAUGAUUCACUUUAUGAAUGUAUGUAAGUAUGGAGUUAUGUAAGCAUGUAUGUAUAUAUGUAGGUAUUGGUGUAUGUAUGUACGUAAGUAGUUAUGUAUGAGCAUGAGCAUUAUGUAAUUGAAUAUGAAAGUACAUACGUGUGUAGGUACGAACGUAUAUAUAUAUAUGUGGAUGCAAGUAAGUAUGUAUGUAUGUAUGUGAGUAGGUAUGUGUGUAUGUAGUUAUGUAUGUAUGUAUGUAAAUACAUAUGCGAAGAUGUAAUCAUGUAUGUAUGUAAUUAGAUGCGUGGGUAUGCAAGUAAAGGUAUGUAUGUAUGUAUGUAUGUGAGUAGGUAUGUGUGUAUGUAGUUAUGUAUGUAUGUAUGUAAAUACAUAUGCGAAGAUGUAAUCAGGUAUGUAUGUAAUUAGAUGCGUGGGUAUGCAAGUAAAGGUAUGUAUGUAUGUAGAUGUGUAUUAUGCGUAUGCGAAGAUACGUAGGUAUAUAUGAAUGUAUGUAGAGAAGUAGUAAUGCAUGCGCGAAUGUGGAUAUGGGGUUGGUAUAGAAGAAGGUACGUAUGAGUAUAUGCAGGUAUGUAGAAAUAUAGGAGGACAUGUACGUAUGUAGACGCAUAUGUAUACAUGUAAACAUGUACAUGUGCAUGAUUUAGAUACGUAGAAUUUUAACGUUACUAAUUAUGCGUUUGAGGUUGGUAUGUGAUGCAGGAACAAGUACACCGGAUUCUUACGAAACUUAAACCGAACCCGGAAUAAGAGGAUGAGAAAGAAUAAUUGGAUGAAUUAAUGUUAAAUUGACGACCGUUAUUCAAUCUUUAAUUACAUGAGAUUAAUGUUAUAUGAUGUUGCCUUUGACUAAUGGUUAAGUUGUAUGUGAUGCCCACAGGUGUUACACGGACUUCUUCUGUUGCUAUGGAAGUGAAGCGGACGUAGAUCGAGUCAAGAGCAAGGAUUGUACGGAUAGAUUGGUCACAUAGUUGAAGUAUAUAACGUUUGGAAAUCUAAAUUUUAGUAUGAAUGUUGUAAAAUUAUUUUAUAGUACGUUUAACAUUUUUAGGAUUUGGAUCCUUCGUGAAAGAAAUGUUGUUAAUACGGAAGAAAAUUUUAAAGCUCUUUUUCCGCUGCGUUA